UCCACGCAGAAAUCUUUACUCAGGCAGACACGGAACAGAUUGUUUGGGGAUGUAAACUCGUGUUAGCUCUACUGAAAUCCAGGCACUGAUUUAUAGCUGCCAUAGCUGCUUCGAUAAACCUGUGCAGUGUGACGUGUCCUGAGGUUUCUUCCGUCUAGAUGUGCACGCCCAGGAGGGGCUGGGAGCCCUCUGUGGGUAGGUUUAACAUCUUGUCUAGGUGAAAUUACAUCGUGAAUGUAACGGUUCAUGCUGCUGAAGACUUCUCACGGAGCUCAGUGAGACACAAAGACCACUAAUGGGCCAUCAGGUGUGGUCACUAAGUAGAUGCAGAACCUCCAGCUGCUGCCGUUCCUCUGGUACCAACGCACAAAUCUUAGCUCAGUGCUGCUCCAGAUGGCUGCACAGCUUUUGGGCCGUGUUGGAUCACAUUCCUGCUGCUCAGAACACAGCCAGUGUUCAUAUCUGCAUUCCAGCAAAUGGGUUUAUGUCCUCAGCCAUGCUGCGUCUCAUACAUGAGAGAAAACAGGCUGAACUUCUUCCAGGUGCUGAAGGAUUUUUUGUUCCCUUUCUUUGUGAUAUCACAGUUUGUCCUUUCCAGUCCUGGAAUUGCUGUGUUCAGUGUGAUGUCAUUGUUCACAGCUGUGACCAUCACGCACUGUAACCAGGAAAGCCACCCUGGAGCUGUACAUCCUGCCAGAGCAGCGAUGGGGCGUGCAGCACCAGCCUUAUCCACGUGUCAUCGAGUUGGGGUGUUGGCUGCUGCCAUUUCUGCCCGUUGUCUGCUGUUCACGGGGCAGGCACGGUUCUGCCCUCCAGUCUCUGGAAAAUACAGAAUACGGGAGACAAGUUUCAUAGCCAGAAAUCUUCUAACUUCAUUCCUGCAAGGCGGUGACUGCUCCAGUGCUCUGACAUCAGCUGCUCAAGUUAGAAGGUGAUAGAUCAGAGAUUCUGGAUGAGAGCAUUCCACUCACUAAUGACAAGCUAAAGUCAUCUGCUUUCACCUCUUUCACUGCUGUCACCUCCCUCCUCCCACUGUGGCCCCUCCCACCAAAAGCAGCUGUACCUGUGUGGCUUC
rnacentral:lncRNA from 1 species